GCACGGGUACCCAAGCGGCCUACGGGACCAGGCUUAGAACCUGGUGGCUCAGUGCCUUCGGCGGUUCGAAUCCGCCCCCGUGCACCA
rnacentral:tRNA from 1 species